rnacentral:rRNA from 1 species
CUACGUGCCAGCAGCCGCGGUAAUACGGAAGGUCCAGGCGUUAUCCGGAUUUAUUGGGUUUAAAGGGAGUGUAGGCGGUCUGUUAAGCGUGUUGUGAAAUUUAGGUGCUCAACAUCUACCUUGCAGCGCGAACUGGCGGACUUGAGUGCACGCAACGUAUGCGGAAUUCAUGGUGUAGCGGUGAAAUGCUUAGAUAUCAUGACGAACUCCGAUCGCGAAGGCAGCCUGCGGGAGUGUUACUGACGCUUAAGCUCGAAGGUGCGGGUAUCGAACAGGAUUAGAUACCCUGGUAGUCCGCACAGUAAACGAUGGAUGCCCGCCGUUGGCGCCCUGCGCCUGCGGCCAAGCGAAAGCAUUAAGCAUCCCACCUGGGGAGUACGCCGGCAACGGUGAAACUCAAAGGAAUUGACGGGGGCCCGCACAAGCGGAGGAACAUGUGGUUUAAUUCGAUGAUACGCGAGGAACCUUACCCGGGCUUGAAUUGCAGUCGCU